rnacentral:rRNA from 1 species
AUGGCUUCUUCCGGUUCCGUGACGAGGCCACCGUGUGCUAACCGCGAGGACAUGCCGGACAAGUGGAUAGACGCCCAGUUGGAUAAGGUGAAGGACAAAGAUAUGGGAACUCCAUCAUGUUGGUGUGGAGAUGUUUGCAAAGUUAAGGUAUCCACCGACCGCAAGAAAUCAUGGACGGAAGGAAGAAGAUAUUUUGUUUGCCCCAACUAUGCCUACGAUCGUCCUCGUCCAGCUCACGCCUAUGAUGUACCGCUGGUAAGUUGUUCAAGUUCAAAGAGUAUUCAACCGUUGCUACAACUUGAACCUAUCUUACUAAUGACCACAUUUUUUCUUUAUUCGUACGUAGUCGCCGCCUCCACUUUGUAA